CAGCCGCGGUAUUCCAGCUCCAAUAGCGUAUAUUAAAGUUGUUGCAGUUAAAAAGCUCGUAGUUGAAUUUUAGGCCUAGCCAGGCGGUCCGUCUUUGGCGAGUACUGUCUUGUUGUCGGGUCUUCCUUCUGGUGAACCAGUAUGUCCUUUAUUGGGUGUGUUGGGGAGCCAGGACCAUUACCUUGAAAAAAUUAGAGUGUUUAAAGCGGGCUAUUGCUUGAAUAGAUUAGCAUGGAAUAAUAGAAUAGGACGUUGUGGUUCUAUUUUGUUGGUUUCUAGGACCACCGUAAUGAUUAAUAGGGAUAGUUGGGGGCAUUAGUAUUCAAUUGUCAGAGGUGAAAUUCUUGGAUUUAUUGAAGACUAACUAUUGCGAAAGCAUUUGCCAAGGAUGUUUUCAUUAAUCAAGAACGAAAGUUAGGGGAUCGAAGACGAUCAGAUACCGUCGUAGUCUUAACCAUAAACUAUGCCGACUAGGAAUCGGGCGACGUUAUUUUAAUGACUCGCUCGGCGCCUUAUG
rnacentral:rRNA from 1 species